rnacentral:rRNA from 1 species
GUUGGGUUGUUGCUGGCCUCUAGGGGCAUGUGCACGCCUGCCAUCGUUUUCAACCACCUGUGCACCUUUUGUAGACUUGGAUACCUUUCGAGAAAGGGAGGGGCUCAUCAUUAAUUGACUUUUAAUGACCCUCUCUCUCGGUUUGGGGAYUGCUGUGCUUGCUUGCAUACUUCAACUAAGUAAGUAGCGGUCGGCUUUCCUUACAUUUCCGGUCUAUGCCAUUAUAUACCCCGUAUUGAAUGUAUUAGAACGUUUUGUUAUUGGCCUCAGUGCCUUUAAAUCAAAUACAACUUUCAGCAACGGAUCUCUUGGCUCUCGCAUCGAUGAAGAACGCAGCGAAAUGCGAUAAGUAAUGUGAAUUGCAGAAUUCAGUGAAUCAUCGAAUCUUUGAACGCACCUUGCGCUCCUUGGUAUUCCGAGGAGCAUGCCUGUUUGAGUGUCAUUAAAUUCUCAACCUAAUCACCUUUUGUCGGGUUGGUUAAGGCUUGGAUGUGGGGGUUGCGGGCUUCAUUGACUUUUGAAGUCGGCUCUCCUUAAAUGCAUUAGUGGAACCUUUUUGUUGACCCUGUUCCUGGUGUGAUAAUUAUCUACACUGCGGGCAGUCAGCGAUUCUAAUGGGGCUCYGCUUCUAACCCGUUGUUUCCCCCUUAACCCGGGAACACUUUUUGACCAUUUGACCUCAAAUCAGG